rnacentral:lncRNA from 1 species
GUCCCUUCCUCUCUUUGAUUCAAUUGUUGUCCACAAGUAUUUUAUCAAUCAAAUGAGACAAAUUAUAUUUGUCCAAUGACAAGAAAGAAAUGAAAAAACGACAAGAACGUUUUCCUUAUGACAAACAUAUAAGAUAAAAAAACUCCAUUAGCUUGAUAAUGUAAAUGUUGUUGUGGUCCAACAGACAUCUCACUGCAUCCCAUUCCGUGACACUUAUGUAUACGAAUGAAUUUGGU